CCAGCCGCCCCCUUUUUUUCCAGACAAAGGGGUGUGAGCCCGCCUGGGGAUGAGGCCUGGUGUGGUGGAAACUGACCUUAGCUUCGCGGGGCUGACAGCUCCGGCCCAGGGCGGUAUGUAAU
rfam:Sus scrofa trophoblast-derived noncoding RNA, complete sequence.